rnacentral:rRNA from 1 species
GCGGAUCUCGAAAGCCUGUCCCAGUUCGGACUGGAGUCUGCAACCCGACUCCACGAAGUUGGAUUCGCUAGUAAUCGCGCAUCAGCCAUGGCGCGGUGAAUACGUUCCCGGGCCUUGUACACACCGCCCGUCAAGCCAUGGGAGGCCGGGGGCGCCUGAAGUCCGGGACCGCGAGGACCGGCCUAGGGCGAAACUGGUAACGUGGGGCUAAGUCGUAACAAGGUAUC